UUGAAAAGUUUAAACCUGGAGAGAUUUCUUAGAUGAUUACAGCCCUGUUUUAGGUCUGACUGGAAAAUGUGCUUGAAACUACAAACCAAGACACAACUGGGGAAGACUUCACCCUUACCUAGGCGAACAUUAAGCCUCCUUGUUAAUCAUGACAAGAAAGGAAAGGAGUAAAGCACAUUGUGAAAUCCCCAACAAUGUACCAAUUCUCCCUCAGUCGGUGUCUUGAGGAAUUACAGGUUCCUGCCUAACUGCAGAGGCCCAAGUACAUGGAGGGACACUGACAGUGAUGUAACCAGCAGCACCAACUCCGGACUGGGCAGAAAGUGUUGGAAUCCUUUUACCACUGCCCAGAAUAGAGCUCCUCCAGUAGUAUUUCUAUGUUAUUUUGUGGAUGAAUUUCUGAUUUAUGACUCACCAUUCAGGAUUGAUUACUCCUUUCCUUUUAGCAGACAGGU
rnacentral:lncRNA from 1 species